UUUUAGCAAAUUUUUAUGAGUGCUUAUAUGAAAAUUUAUCGUUAUGUAAUCAAAUUUUCCAUUACACCCCCCUCCGCCCCCCAAUUUUCGUAACAUUUCGUAACAGACGCCGACACCCCCUAACUGCGUUACGUAAUAAAAGAACGCUCCCUAAACUCGCUCAACUCCGACAGUCGACAUUCAGCUGUAUGUCGACGUCGAUUAGAAUUUGGCGGAAAACGUCAAAGUUGAAUCAAAACAAACAAAAUAAAAAUUGAUUAAAAAAAUGUCGGCUCGAACGUUUAAAUUAUUCAAAUUUUGUGAAAUCGAGUGACCACCAUCUAUUACUGGACCAGAGGGACCGACCGGAAGAAACAAAGAACCGGCAUAGCAGCAAAUUUGAAAGUAAGAUUUUAAUGGUACGUAUUUGUACGUAUAACGGAGCAAGUUUGUAAGGUGAAAUAAAAAUUUUACACUUUAUUUUUCUUUUAAGCAAAACUCGACAUUAUCUUCCUAAGUCUCAAUCUACGAAUUUCCUGGAAAUAUUGAUGAUCCUGGACUGACAUGGUCCAGCAGCGGUUUAGAAAGAGCACAGUUGGACGGUGUUCUUUAAGCACGCAGAGGUUAACUUUCCGGUGACGGUUCUCAUGAGCCCGAACGACUCGUCGAGAAUCUCGACCGGCUCAAUACGAUUUAGAGGCCGGAAGUGGUUUCAGCCCAAGCUUGUGGGAGAUCAUGUGGCGGUGAUUUCCUUCGUUUUGUAAUGCUACUUCCUCCCUCUUCUAUUCCAAACGGAUUAAUGAUGUACACGGAAAGGCCUCGAUUCAGGCGCUGAGAGAUGUACUCCGAUAUGAUCCAGACUGACCAGCCAGCGGUAACGACGCCAAGUCUAAUUCUUCCCAGAGCUGACCUUAUUGUAGAAUAUGCUAAUCCAAAAAUCAAACUGACCAUAACGUUUCCGACGAUGCAGCUGGACAUCUGCAUUUCCUUAGCAAAAGCAACUUCCGGUAAGCUUGAGCGAUAGCUCCGAAAGCCUUGCGUUGACUUGACCUGAUUUCUAACAAAUGAUUCACUCUUUCGAUGUUAGACAAUCUACAAUUCAGUCGACGAAAAUCCAUGGCAAGGGAUUGCCGGUCCUCUGGCGUAAACAUUGUGGCUUUCGAGAUGCUUUACGAGGCGGGUCACAUGAUCACAGGCUUAGUGGACUUCAAACGAGUAAGUUUCAGUUUUAAAGUACAUCAAUUGUCUUAGAAAUCACUAAUCUAGUGUUCAAGUAUCAGAAUAAAAUUAAAUUACUCCGUUGAAUUUAGCAUUUGAUAAAAUUUCGUUUUCUUUAUUUGUUUACGCAGUUAGGAAUGAUAAACUUAUGUACAUCAUUUCAAGCAAAACAAUGGCAAAGAGCCAACGUGAAACUCACAUUGACCCAGUUAUCGGUUUUGCUUGAUUCGAUAAGAACAAAAGUAAGCCGUUCCAAACCAUGCAAGACUAUAAAGCAUUUGAAAUUUACAUCAGGUUCUAAAUUCAACGGAGCAAAAAAAAUUUCGACUUUGGUAAAAUUACAUCGAUUUCAUCGGAAAUUUACAAGUUUCCAAAGCAAAGUUUGUUCCACAUGAUUACGUCGAAUGGCACUUAAUUUUACAAUGAAGUUCAUGUAAAUUAGCAUCAUUAAUGACGUGCACUUUUGGUACAUCAUUAAUGAUGUAAAUUUACCGAAUUAUUUUUUUCUGUGUAGUUGACCUAGCGAAGGAGAAAUGAGCAACUUUUGAAGAACUGUUAUGGCUCGCAGGCUGUUGAUGUCCAACUUCAAAUGAUGAGGACGGACGGGGACUGGAGCGGUCCCUGUUGGCUAUUUUUUUUAGAUCUCUCCCUUUGUCAUCAGUUUUUUCGGCUCUCUCGUAUUGACCCGACUGUCGUCAGUUGGCAUUGGAGCUCUUCGCCGAGUAGUCCAUUUUUGACUAACUCGAGGUUUCUCCAAAGCGCAGACAGCAGGGAAAGAAAACCCUGUACUGAUUUUGCGGGAUGACCAAAGCUCCAAAGCUGCCACCCGAGGAUUGAACCUCUGACCUUCCGCUUGUUAGGCGGAUCCCGUAACCACUCGACCACGGGAGGUUGGCAAUCUGAUUUUUAAUAUUGUUUGAGAAAUAAAUUAAAAUCAAUAGGCUCAUUACCUUUACGACCUAAAUUUGAGCUAAUUUUUUGGCCAAAAUAUUCAAAAUAAAUAGAAAAUCGGGCGAAAGUCACGACAAUGAUUGGAAAUCGUGUAUUGGUAUAUUAUCGGUUGUUGAACAAGCUGGGUAAGAAAUUUUUAAGAUUUCCAAUCUAUUGAAGUGAUGAUUGCGAUAGGCUAAAACUUAAACUUGAGUUAAUGAUUUGAUUCGGGGAGAUAUAUUAAAAGAUAAAUAUAAUCGAUUGUUGGAAAAGUAGGUCAUUUUUGACGAAGUUUCAAUCUUUUGAAGUGAUGAUUUAAGAAUCAAUAGGCUUAUAACCUAUACGGCUUAAAUUUGAGCUCAUGUUUGGAUUUUAAAAGAUAUUUUUUAUCGAUUAUUGGAGAAGUUGGGAAUGGAAUUUUGAGAUUUUUAAUAUUGUUAAAGUUAUGGUUUAAGAAUCGAUAGGCUCAUAGCCUACACAGAAAAAAAAGUGUGAAUUUACACGACACUGAAUUCAUGUUUUAAACGUAAACAUGCUCGAUGUAAAUUUGAAAACCGAUGUAAAUCGUUGUAUUUAAUUUAAAGAGUGUUUGUGUAAAUUGAAAUUGCAUGUAAACUUUGAAUCUAAUGUAAAUGAUCAUUGUUUUGUUGACAUCACUCAAAUUUGAAAGUAUGAAAGCCAUGUAAUUUUGGUACGAUGUAAAAUAAAUUCCAUUCUGGCACGUAAAUUUCAACAUAACAGAUGUGAUUGAUGUUGUCAAUGACAGCUCAUUAUUAUGAUCGUGUUUGGCGUGAGGAGCGGAAGUGUUUAGCUUAUAUUUAUGCACAUAUUUACUGUUGAAAGGCCACCAGCUCCUCGCAGCUGUCCAGCCGAUCGAAGCAAUUUCCGUUCCCAAUCGCCGACGGACUCUGCACGCUGACCGGUGGCCGACUGAUCCGGUAGGGCGUUUCCUGCUUGGACGUUCCGGUUCCACCCGUUCCAUCGGAGGAUCCCAGCACGGAGACGCACGACAGGGACGAAUGAAUUGGGUAGGACGGCGUGUUGCGGAUUUCGUCGAGGAUUUUGUUCGCCGGGGACAUGAUCUGGUUCGGGACCGGCGUGGUAAAGCAUUUCGGCAGGGAGGAUGCCGCAGCGGCGGCCUUGUUGCUUUCGAUGUUUUUGCUGUUUUUAAUCGUUUCCGUCAGCUUGUGGAGCAGAUUUGAGCUGAUCGAUCCGGCCGAUCGAUUCGGGCGAUCGAUUCGUGAUACUCUCGUAGAGAAGCUUUAGGAUUUUAUGUUCCGGUUCCGUACACUGCUGGUCCAUUGGAAUGUGCUGCAUCUGCUCUUUCUUCUCCGCUGGUCCAGCACGAAAUGCUGAUGGCCUGAUGGCUCCGGAACAGUCAGUUAACUUUUCUGGCAAAAUCAAUCAUUUGCAUAAUCUAACUUUUUAUUGCAGAGCUAGCUCAAAUCAUUUACCCUCGGUAGAACUUCCAGUUUGUCUGCGGACCAAGAUCACGUCAAGCUUCUUGAGGUAAACAAAUUAAUCUAUUACUUUUAGCACAUCCUCAGGUGAUGGCAACAAACGGAAUAAACUCUUAAACUUUUAAAAUACCGAGCCGCAAUUUAAUUAAUGUUAACAAAUAAUUUUUACUGCUUCUCGUCAACCGGCUGUCAACUGUCAAAACAUUGGUGAUUUUUCAAAAUCCAAGGUUUUUAUCAUAGCAAGGUGCAUAGGAAAAUAUGUCGGAGUUAGUUGUCGGAGUGAUAUCAAGUUUAUUUGGAGCCCAAUUUUUUAGUUAAAAUGAUUUUUCUAUUUAUCAUUUCUUAUUACAAUAGAUAAUCCAGUUUGAAAUGGCCGCUAGGUCGCAAAUGGUGUUAGAAAUGACAGUUUUCAUGUAUUUGAAUUGGGAAACUUGGGAAAACUUACAUUUUAAGCAAUAAAAUGAUUAUUUAGGAUAGAAGUAUUGAUUGAUUAGAUGAAAAAAUAUGUGUUUUUUACAACAAAAAUAGUUCGAAUAAUUUGCAAUUGAGAUAAGAACACCAUUCGAUUCCGCAGGAAGUUCAGCAAUAAUAAAUUGUUUUCCUAUCUCUGCUUUUUUUAAAGAAAAUUAACAAAAAGUAUGAAAACCGAGACAUUUACAAUGGGAGCUAUCAUAUCUCUCAUCAUCAACCAGCGGGGUUGAGCUUUCGCUGGGUUUGUCUAUUUCUGAUCUCUUUUUAAUUUUCACUCAAUAUAAAUAUAUUAAAGCAAACUGUGUUUUGUUAACACGUGAAAUAUUUUAAUUUGACUCAGAUGAAUUUGACGAUUUUGAGCAAGAUUCAAGUUCUAAGAUUACGUAACUACUUAUUUAAAAGAUUAAACUUAUUUAUUUGAACACAAUGACACUUGAGAGUUGGACCUUAAGGCCAAAACGACAUCACUAAAAGUUUGGUCAAGAAAUAGAUUUGCAAUCACCAAUAGAUUCUUUCCACGAAAACAGUGUUAACAAGCAGGAUAUCGUUUCAAUAAUAUUAAACUUAUAAUUUUAAGAAUUCUUCAUGGAGAUUUCUUUUCUUAGGACAUGGUACCUUAAACCGGGUUACAUUGAUGAGAUUUUAUUUUAUUUUUUUUUAUAUUAAUUACGUCAAAUUGAUUUUUAAGGCCUCUUUUAAUGUUACAUCUGAAAAAAAUACAAUUGGGUACUAAAGCCCUAUGUCAUUUUUUAUGUACAACGGUAAAAAACACGAUCAAAAACCAUUUCUGAUCACUUUUUUUCAUUUUAAUGCAUAAAAAAAUAAUGACAAGACAACAUUUUUUCGAUGGAUCAACUAUGGUCCCCUUGGAACGAGCUGUCAAGUAGGAACUUUUCUGUCAAGAAGGACCGCGAGGUUAAUUUUUCAAAAUUGAUUUAAAAACCCAUUUUAAACUCUUUGUGGUCCUACAUAGGGUCAUUGUACUCAGAAAAAUAAGCUUGAUCGCUAUAAACAAUAAUAUCAGCAAUCUAAGCUUCAUUUUAGGACCCAAUUGAAUGAUUGUUUAACAAAGUACUGUACUGUACUGUAGCAAAACAUAGUAAUUGGGAAAUGUCGAAGCAUGAACGUAUCUUGCUCGUUCUCGAUGAACAUCAUCCGUCGUGAGCAGGUUAAACUGAUGUUCAGUGUUGUCAUAAUUAAAGUUAACCAACUUUUGAAACUAUUCAAAAUGUAGUGAAAAGUUCUUGUUGGGGUGAUUUGACCACAUCUCUACCAAGCUUAGUAUGAUUCCAUAACGUUCUGUUUGUAUUUUAUUCGUAUUUUUCAUUUUGCCAAAAAAAAAAAAAACUUCAAUAUAAAAAUGUCACCCCGGCUAUGAAUUUUACCCCAGUAGUCUGCUCACAGUUUGUAUCAACAACCAGAUACGUGCGGGAUACAUUGAAUUUUUACGUUUAGUGAAGGCGACGUAAAAAAAAUAUCACCUCUUACCAGUUAACUCAAUUCGAAUUCCGAAAUUAAAUUCGAAUCGUAUACGAAACCCGUUUCAAAGCAACAACCGGAACGUACACGGAACCGGAUGUUGCAUUUGAAACGGAAUUCGUAUAUGAUUCAAAUUAAAUCCGUUUUAGAAUUCGAAUAGAACUGGUUUUCCCUUUUUACUACUGCAGCAGACUUAUCAGAUGCAUUGCAUACUCUAAACAAUACCCUAAAUUGGAUAAUCGAACUCCGACAAAAACCAAAAUAUUUUCUAAUACCGGUCUAUGUAAUUGGCAACGUCAUUGAUACGUUAACUUAAAACGUCACCAAGAAUGUCACACAUCAAUCGAAAAAUUUGAGAAGCAGAUUUGGUUCGAACCAGUCGAUUUUGUAGAGAACGGUGACGGAUACGGAAUCGGUGCUGGCGGCGUUUAAGUGUAUUAAUCGAGCCACAAAAUUAAAGUGCCUAACGUGCUGGCGAGAUAGAAACGGUCGAGUUGGGGACAAGCUUUUCGACGCAAAAGCAAAGCCGGGAACGUUACUCAUUGGAACCCGACAAGUGCUGCUGUCCGGAGCAAGAACGCCUGGCUGGGCAGAUCGCUGUUGGUCAGUUCAAACUUACCGGCCAAGCUGGACAAGUCCAUGAUGCAGAUGCUCACCGUGGCGCAGCCGCCAGUGUUAACGAAGCCCCCCAAAACUUCCUGGAUUACCAGCUGAUAAAGUUCACCAAGAAGCAGCUCAACAAGAACGUCACCAACCAACAACAAAUCUGAAGUCCUUAUGCUGACCUCCCGCCGCUUAUGGAGUUUUUUUUGUGUGAAAAUGUUCAGGUGAGUACAUUCCGCAUUGUAAUUAUCACUCCAUCCUUAGAAAAAAAAAACAUUAAGGGUCAACCAAUCCCCUUUUGUACGCUGUUCCGUUGAAUCUACAAUUUGGUGUGAUUUUGAACAAUCUUUGUGUUUGGAUCAUAGUCAGAAAGAUUAUUGUACUGCAAAUCAAUCUAGACAACCUUUUUUGAUAAGGUUAAAUUAAUUUUUCUUAACUAUGAUUUACAAAAGCUUUUCAAAUUUACAUCAGAUUCUAGUUUCAACGGAAUAAAAAAAUUUUGGACUUUGGUAAUUUUACGUUAGUUUCAUCGGAAAUUUACAUGUUUUGAGACACUUUUUGUUCUAGAAGUUUACGAUGGAUGGCACUUAAAUUUCAAAUGAAUUUGAUGUAAAUUCGCAUCUUUAAUGACGUGCACUUUUGGUACAUCAUAAAUGAUGUAAAUUUACCCGAUUUUUUUUUUCUGUGUACACGACCUAAUUUAGAGCUUAUUGUUGUGUCCGAAAUAUUCAAAAUUCAUGGAAAAUUGGGUGAAAGUCACGACAAUGAUUGGAAUUCGUAUAUUAUUAUAUUAUCGAUUGUUGAACAAGCUGAAGUGAUGAUUUAACAGACGAUAG